rnacentral:rRNA from 1 species
UACGAAGGGGGCUAGCGUUGUUCGGAAUCACUGGGCGUAAAGCGCACGUAGGCGGGUCGUUAAGUCAGGGGUGAAAUCCCGAGGCUCAACCUCGGAACUGCCUUUGAUACUGGCGACCUUGGAGUCCGGGAGAGGUGAGUGGAACUCCGAGUGUAGAGGUGAAAUUCGUAGAGUAUUCGGAAGGAACACCCAGUGGCGAAGGCGGCUCACUGGCCCGGUACUGGACGCUGAGGUGCGAAAGCGUGGG